rnacentral:tRNA from 1 species
GGAGAGGUGUCCGAGUGGCCGAAGGAGCACGACUGGAAAUCGUGUACACGUCCAAAAGGCGUGUCGAGGGUUCAAAUCCCUCCCUCUCCGCCA